rnacentral:rRNA from 1 species
GAUGAACGCUAGCGGCAGGCCUAACACAUGCAAGUCGAGGGGUAGAAGGAGCUUGCUCCUUUGAGACCGGCGCACGGGUGCGUAACGCGUAUGCAAUCUACCUUGUACAGGGGAAUAGCCCAGAGAAAUUUGGAUUAAUGCCCCAUAGUAUAUAACCUUCGCAUGUUGGUUAUCUUAAAGUUCCAACGGUACAAGAUGAGCAUGCGUCCCAUUAGUUAGUUGGUAAGGUAACGGCUUACCAAGACGAUGAUGGGUAGGGGUCCUGAGAGGGAGAUCCCCCAGACUGGUACCGAGACACGGACCAGACUGCUACGGGAGGCAGCAGUGAGGAAGAUUGGGCAAGGGUCGCAAGACUGAACCAGCCAUGCCGCGGGCAGGAAGACGGUCCUAGGGAUGGUAAACUGCUUGUAUACAGGAAGAAACCCUCCCACGUGUGGGAGCUUGACGGUACUGUAGGAAUAAGGAUCGGCUAACUCCGUG